AUGAGCAUCCAGGCUUCUGCCUGGAGCUGUCACCAGCUCGUUUCUCAUCCCAGCCCAGCAGUUGGAAUCUCCCCAGGAAUAAUUAUUUCUUCAAAUGGAUUGUUGACCAGCCUUUUGGAAGAAAGAGCAGUACCUGGCAGCACCUUCUGAGGUCCAGAGUGAGCAUGGCAGCUAAAAGGACCCUGGAGGCACUGAAGAAUUCCACCAGCUUUGGCGACUGUCUGCAUCAGCUUUGAAUGCCACUUGGGAAUUCUGGACUACUAGCACACCAAGCAGUGUUUGCUAUUACCGCUGCAAAAUAUGCCAAGUAAAACCAGGAAUGAGCUGCAGAGGGCGUCUACCUCCAGGAUUUCAGCGUUCCCGUCGGCUCCCUCGCUGUGAGAGGGAAGGGUAAGAAAAAGGAAGAGAAAGGAAGGUGAAAUGCUGUCCAAGCCUCCAUCCAUGGGAGAUGAUGCAGGCGCUGAACUCUGCUCCAACACCAGCAGGCCCCUUC